rnacentral:rRNA from 1 species
GACGAACGCUGGCGGCGUGCUUAACACAUGCAAGUCGAACGGAAAGACCCUGCUUUUGUGGGGUGCUCGAGUGCCGAACGGGUGCGUAACACGUGAGUAACCUGCCCUUGACUUUGGGAUAACUUCAGGUAACUGGGGCUAAUACCGGAUAGGAUCUCCUGCUCCGUGGUGGGGGUUGGAAAGUUUCGGCGGUUGUGGAUGGACUCGCGGCUUAUCAGCUUGUUGGUUGGGGAGGGGCUUACCCAGGCUUUGACGGGUAGCCGGCAUGAGAGGGGGGACGGGCACAAUGGGCCUGCGAGACGGCGCAGUCUCCUACGUGAGGCAGCAGGGGGGAAUAUGACCCAAUGGGCGCGAGCGUGAUGCAGCAACGCUGCGGGCGGGAUGACGGCCUUCGGGUUGUGAACCGCUUUCGCCUGUGACGAAGCGUGAGUGACGGUAAUGGGUAAAGAAGCACCGGCUAACUACGUG